rnacentral:rRNA from 1 species
GGAACGAUAUCGGCGUCGAGCGGCGGACGGGUGAGUAAUGCCUGGGAAAUUGCCCUGAUGUGGGGGAUAACCAUUGGAAACGAUGGCUAAUACCGCAUAAUAGCUUCGGCUCAAAGAGGGGGACCUUCGGGCCUCUCGCGUCAGGAUAUGCCCAGGUGGGAUUAGCUAGUUGGUGAGGUAAGGGCUCACCAAGGCGACGAUCCCUAGCUGGUCUGAGAGGAUGAUCAGCCACACUGGAACUGAGACACGGUCCAGACUCCUACGGGAGGCAGCAGUGGGGAAUAUUGCACAAUGGGCGCAAGCCUGAUGCAGCCAUGCCGCGUGUGUGAAGAAGGCCUUCGGGUUGUAAAGCACUUUCAGUCGUGAGGAAGGUAGUGUGUUUAAUAGAUGCAUUAUUUGACGUUAGCGACAGAAGAAGCACCGGCUAACUCCGUGCCAGCAGCCGCGGUAAUACGGAGGGUGCGAGCGUUAAUCGGAAUUACUGGGCGUAAAGCGCAUGCAGGUGGUGUGUUAAGUCAGAUGUGAAAGCCCGGGGCUCAACCUCGGAAUAGCAUUUGAAACUGGCAGACUAGAGUACUGUAGAGGGGGGUAGAAUUUCAGGUGUAGCGGUGAAAUGCGUAGAGAUCUGAAGGAAUACCGGUGGCGAAAGGCGGCCCCCUGGACAGAUACUGACACUCAGAUGCGAAAGCGUGGGGAGCAAACAGGA